CCUACGGGAGGCAGCAGUGAGGAAUAUUGGUCAAUGGACGCAAGUCUGAACCAGCCAUGCCGCGUGCAGGAAGACGGCUCUAUGAGUUGUAAACUGCUUUUGUGCGAGGGUAAACGCAGAUACGUGUAUCUGUCUGACAGUAUAGUACGAAUAAGGAUCGGCUAACGCCGUGCCAGCAGCCGCGGUAAUACGGAGGAUCCAAGCGUUAUCCGGAUUUAUUGGGUUUAACGGGUGCGUAGGCGGUCGGGUAAGUUAGAGGUGAAAGCCCGAGGCUCAACUUCGGAAUUGCCUCUGAUACUGUUCGGCUAGAGAAUAGUUGCGGUAGGCGGAAUGUAUGGUGUAGCGGUGAAAUGCUUAGAUAUCAGACAGAACACCGAUUGCGAAGGCAGCUUACCAAGCUACUUCUGACGUUGAGGCACGAAAGCGUGGGGAGCAAACAGGAUUAGAUACCCUUGUAGUC
rnacentral:rRNA from 1 species